rnacentral:rRNA from 1 species
UACAUGUGGGGCAAGCGUUGUUCGGAAUCACUGGGCAUAAAGGGUGCGUAGGCGGCUUGUUAAGUCAGGGGUGAAAUCCCACGGCCCAACCGUGGAACUGCCUUUGAAACUGGCGAGCUUGAGUGCGUGAGGGGUAACCGGAACGAGUCGUGUAGCGGUGAAAUGCGUAGAUAUGACUCGGAAGGCCAAAGGCGAAGGCAGGUUACUGGUACGCAACUGACGCUGAGGCGCGAAAGCUGGGGGAGCGAACGGG